rnacentral:lncRNA from 1 species
GCCCCUCCCCCAGCCUCAUUACUGCCUUGCAGUUUGAUCUCAGACUGCUGUGCUAGCAAUCAGCGAGACUCCCUGGGCGUAGGACCCUCCGAGCCAGGUGUGGGAAAUAAUCUCCUGGUGCACCGUUUCCUAAGCCCGUCGGAAAAGCGCAGUAUUUGGGUGGGAGUGGCCCGAUUUUCCAGGUGCCCUCCUUUCCUUGACCAGGAAAGGGAACUCCCUGACCCCUUACGCUUCCCAAGUGAGGCAAUGCCUCGCCCUGCUUCGGCUGGCGCACGGUGCCCUGCACCCACUGUCUGGCACUCCCUAGUGAGAUGAACCCGGUACCUCAGAUGGAAAUGCAGAAAUCACCCAUCUUCUGCGUGGCUCAUGCUGGGAGCUGUAGACCAGAGCUGUUCCUAUUCAGCCAUCUUGGCUCCCGGAUCCAGUUUAACUUUUGCAGAGUGAACCUGAGGAAUACCACAAAUGUGAGCAUGGCUGGAUCUUUUGAAUUAAAAUCCACACUGGGAAAGAAAUAGACCUUGAACAUCUUGCCAAAGGCAAACCACUUCAAUAGAACAUGGCUGGCGGCCAUAUGGACAUAUUUGAAUCCAACAAUUAAUUCAGCAAAGAAAGCUGCUUGUGGCAAGUUUUGAAUGUGCCAUUCCAGGUAGUGCUUUGAUGAUAAAUGAGGAGAAGAUUGCAAAGAAAAUGACAGCAACAUUUAUAAAAGGAUUCCUCUUAGGACUCUAGAUGCACGGAGAGUGGCCAGAUUAAUACAGACUGGCAAAAGAAGAACUUGGCAAAGUGAUUUGAUCACACACUUCUCACCCUCACAUCUCCUGACAGUUCCCCUAAUCCCUGCCCCACUUCCCCGCCAUGGGCUUCCAUCAGGAAACUCCUUGAUAUCAUCUUCGUUACAGGAAUGCAGAUGUGAUUCCUAUGGAUGAGGGUAACCUAGAGGCUAGAAGAACAAUAGGACAGAAGAAGCCUGGGUCCCUGAACAACCUUGUGGAGCAUAGACACCUACGUGGCCUGGACUGCCAGCUCACAAUGGGCCUCUCUGUGAGAGAAGGAAACUUCCCUCUUGUUUAAGCAACUGUGCUUUUGAGAAUCUCUUGGUCUAUACCCUAAUGAAUAAGGCCAUCAUAAAUGGAUAUCAAAGUAAGGAAAUUUGUGUAAAUGAUUUAAUAAAACAUUACCUCAGGUAUGAAAUAAUUCUACCUUGUGCCUUGACAACAUCAGGUAUUAUUCAUGCCCUUUUCUCUCCCUGUAAUGUCUCUUAUCCACGGGUAGAAAUUAUAUUUUCCAUCUAAGGUUUGCUCAAAUAUUAUCUACUUAAGUAGCUCUUACCAAUUUUGCCUCUCCUCCUGAGCUGACCCUAUGCCUUCUAUGCUGUUCCAGGUAAUAUUAAUCUCUUCCUUUGUACUUCUUUCACAGAACAUACUUUUUUGUCUAACAUAAUAACUAUAGGCAUAAGUGUAUAGAUUCCACUAGGGGCUUCAGAACAGAAACUAUCAUCUUAUUAAUUUUUUUCUCCCUGAUAUCUAGGGAAAUAUGUUAUAUAUAAUAGGCCCUUAGUAAUCCCAUAAAUGUUUGUGAGAUAUUCACUGACUAUAAGCCAUACUCUGUAUUUAUUUAGCUAAAACAGACGUCUUUCAUAUUUAGUUAGCAGAAAAUGCUCACAUUUACUCCUUUCCUGUUUACCAAAUGAAAGGGUAAUUGUUUUUUCACAGAUUGCACUAGAAAAGUGUCUUCUCUCUCUUUUUCAAAUAGAUUGUCUUUAAAACAUAUGACAGGAAAAGUGACUAUUGUUAGGAUAAGAUAAUUACGAUUGUAACAGCUAGUUUAAAAGAAGUGUCAGUUGCUCCUGUUUUAUUUUUCACAGGAUAGAGCUGCGGCCUGUCUCAGUAUGAUGUUUUCAGGAUCUGGUAUAUAUUUUUAUUUUCCUACAUGAAUCUUUCAUCCUUUUACUGACAUUUAUUCAUUUUAUCUAAUUAUCCUAAAAGGAAAGCUCUGGCCAGGCAAAUUGGUUGUUGUCUGCCUCUGAAGAGACAUUCAUAUCGCGUCGCUUAGCUUUCAAGUUUUGUGAUCAGGAACCCUCAGGCCCAUUUUUAAGGAGGUUUCAGGCUAGCUGAGCUUCACUGUCUCCCAAAAUGUACAAAAUGAGAUUACAUGAGGGACAAGAUCAAUUUACUGGAAGGUACUUAAGCAGUAAAUCUGGAGCUUUUUGUCCAGUCACUAUUGCUUUCAAGCUUUGUAGCAGAAAAUUAAGCCACAAGAGCUUUGACAAAUUAGAUAUUACUACCUCUAAUUGUGUAUGUUUAAGCUUAUCACACUGAAUUGCAGCAUUGUAACUGACUAUUAUGCCAACAAGGCCUUCGUUUAAUCAGCGCAGUGCCAUUUAAUCGCAAUUAAUCACUCAACUAAAAUGUCAUAUUAAGGUCACAGAAACUUGAAGGGCUAAAAGAAAAGAGAACAUUAAAGUCAGCUGAUGGAGGAAAAGAGCAUGGUGUGCCAAGGGAAGUUCUGAGCACUCUUUUUCAUUAGAAGCUGGUAGAACAUUUAAUGAGAAUUCAGUCUUAACUUUCAGCUGAGAUCAGAACAACGUGCC